rnacentral:rRNA from 1 species
UGGGGAAUAUUGGGCAAUGGGCGAAAGCCUGACCCAGCCAUGCCGCGUGAGUGAUGAAGGCCUUAGGGUUGUAAAACUCUUUCGCUAGUGAAGAUAAUGACGGUAACUAGUAAAGAAGCCCCGGCUAAUUUCGUGCCAGCAGCCGCGGUAAUACGAAAGGGGCUAGCGUUGUUCGGAAUUACUGGGCGUAAAGCGCGCGUAGGCGGGCUAGCAAGUUGGGGGUGAAAUGCCGGGGCUCAACCUCGGAACUGCCUCUAAAACUGCUAGCCUCGAGGAUGUGAGAGGAUAGUGGAAUUCCGAGUGUAGAGGUGAAAUUCGUAGAUAUUCGGAAGAACACCAGUGGCGAAGGCGACUGUCUGGCACAUUUCUGACGCUGAGGUGCGAAAGCGUGGGGAGCAAACGGGAUUAGAUACCCGGGUAGUCC